CUGGCACUUUCACAGGUCUUCUCCAGGCAGUGGGGCCAGGAUUUGGUAAUUGGUGCUAAGAGAAAACCCUUGAUUUCAUCCUUGCCUUGGGGGACUGUACCAGCAGCAGCUGUCACUCAAUGGGACAGAG